CAAAUUACUAUGCUUGAUAUUUUGAAUAUGUUAUUAUUCCACUAUGCUUAUUAUUUUUAAUAUUUUAUUAGAAUAGUAUCCCAAGUUUUUCCUAUAAAUAGCCCUUCCAAAACUCAUCUUGAAAUCACAAAAACCUCAUUUUCCUUUCUCUUACUAUACCCAAAAAUCUUCUUAACAUCCUUCUAAAGUUCUAAACCUCGGAGAUCUAGGCGAAGUUCUGUCCAUAACGCUAGCCUACGAAAACCUUUUAGGAAGCUAACAAUUUCGGUUGUUUUAUCAAGACGCAAGGUAAGAGGCCCCAAAUAUAAAUCGUUGAUGAGUAUACGUGGAGCCAACAUGACUGUACAUAUGGGGCUGACCUGAAGGGAGUGGAGUUCUGCUAUGCUAUUUUAUAAAUAAACAAGAAACUUGGUUUUAUUAUAUUUCAUUAAAAGUAUUUUGUGAACUUUAUCACUUACUUAAAGCUUUAAAAGUAUUUCAUGAACUUUGUAAUUUACAUAAAGCUUUUCAAUUUAUCAGUUG